GCUGGGCGUGAUGGCCCAUGCCUGUAAUCCCAGUGGCUGGGAGGCUGAGUCAGGAGGAUCACAAGUUCAAAGCCAGCCUCAGUAAUGGCAAAGUACUUAGCAACUCAGUGAGACCCUGUCUCUA
rnacentral:sRNA from 1 species